CCUACGGGAGACAGCAGUGAGGAAUAUUGGUCAAUGGACGAGAGUCUGAACCAGCCAAGUAGCGUGAAGGAUGACUGCCCUAUGGGUUGUAAACUUCUUUUAUAAAGGAAUAAAACGAGGCACGUGUGCCUGUUUGCAUGUACUUUAUGAAUAAGGAUCGGCUAACUCCGUGCCAGCAGCCGCGGUAAUACGGAGGAUCCGAGCGUUAUCCGGAUUUAUUGGGUUUAAAGGGAGCGUAGAUGGGUUGUUAAGUCAGUUGUGAAAGUUUGCGGCUCAACCGUAAAAUUGCAAUUGAUACUGGCAGUCUUGAGUGCAGUUGAGGUAGGCGGAAUGCGUGGUGUAGCGGUGAAAUGCUUAGAUAUCACGCAGAACCCCGAUUGCGAAGGCAGCUUACUAAACUGUGACUGACAUUGAGGCUCGAAAGUGUGGGUAUCAAACAGGAUUAGAUACCCUGGUAGUC
rnacentral:rRNA from 1 species